UACAGAGGGUGCGAGCGUUGUCCGGAAUCACUGGGCGUAAAGGGCGCGUAGGUGGCGACCCAAGUCGAUGGUGAAAGCUCGCCGCUCAACGGCGAGUCGGCCACCGAUACUGGGGUUGCUCGAGCACUGUAGAGGCUAAUGGAAUUCCGGGGUGUAGCGGUGGAAUGCGUAGAGAUCCGGAAGAACACCGGUGGCGAAGGCGGUUAGCUGGGCAGUUGCUGGAC
rnacentral:rRNA from 1 species